GGGUGUCGGAGUUCUAUCGCUUCAUUGUUUUUGCAUUUAAGAGGAAAGUCCGGGCAACAAAGAGCAUCAUACUACCUAACAGGUAGGCAGAGUCAUAAAGGCUUUGACAGCAAGUGCCACAGAAAACAACCGCCGAUGUUUUAAGCAGGUAAGGGUGAAAACGUGAGGUAAGAGCUCACGAAUCAGGUUAGUGAUAAUCCGAUUGGGUAAACCUUAUGAGUUGAAAGACCAAAUAUAUCGGAAUUAAGGACUGCUCGUCCGCUUCGAGGGGUAGGUCGUUAGAGAUUUGUUGUGAAGCAAAUUUUAGAUUAAUGAUAGAAAGCGAAUAUAAAAUCGUUACAGAACCCGGCUUAUAACCGACACCCGUUU
rnacentral:RNase_P_RNA from 1 species